rnacentral:rRNA from 1 species
CCUACGGGUGGCUGCAGUGGGGAAUAUUGGACAAUGGGGGCAACCCUGAUCCAGCCAUGCCGCGUGUGUGAAGAAGGCCCUCGGGUUGUAAAGCACUUUCAGUGAGGAAGAACGCCUGGUGGUUAAUACCCAUCAGGAAAGACAUCACUCACAGAAGAAGCACCGGCUAACUCCGUGCCAGCAGCCGCGGUAAUACGGAGGGUGCGAGCGUUAAUCGGAAUUACUGGGCGUAAAGCGCGCGUAGGUGGCUUGAUAAGCCGGUUGUGAAAGCCCCGGGCUCAACCUGGGAACGGCAUCCGGAACUGUCAAGCUAGAGUGCAGGAGAGGAAGGUAGAAUUCCCGGUGUAGCGGUGAAAUGCGUAGAGAUCGGGAGGAAUACCAGUGGUGAAGGCGGCCUUCUGGACUGACACUGACACUGAGGUGCGAAAGCGUGGGUAGCAAACAGGAUUAGAUACCCUGGUAGUC